GAUGAACGCUGGCGGCGUGCCUAAUACAUGCAAGUCGAGCGAACGGACGAGAAGCUUGCUUCUCUGAUGUUAGCGGCGGACGGGUGAGUAACACGUGGAUAACCUACCUAUAAGACUGGGAUAACUUCGGGAAACCGGAGCUAAUACCGGAUGAUAUUUUGAACCGCAUGGUUCAAAAGUGAAAGACGGUCUUGCUGUCACUUAUAGAUGGAUCCGCGCUGCAUUAGCUAGUUGGUAAGGUAACGGCUUACCAAGGCAACGAUGCAUAGCCGACCUGAGAGGGUGAUCGGCCACACUGGAACUGAGACACGGUCCAGACUCCUACGGGAGGCAGCAGUAGGGAAUCUUCCGCAAUGGGCGAAAGCCUGACGGAGCAACGCCGCGUGAGUGAUGAAGGUCUUCGGAUCGUAAAACUCUGUUAUUAGGGAAGAACAUAUGUGUAAGUAACUGUGCACAUCUUGACGGUACCUAAUCAGAAAGCCACGGCUAACUACGUGCCAGCAGCCGCGGUAAUACGUAGGUGGCAAGCGUUAUCCGGAAUUAUUGGGCGUAAAGCGCGCGUAGGCGGUUUUUUAAGUCUGAUGUGAAAGCCCACGGCUCAACCGUGGAGGGUCAUUGGAAACUGGAAAACUUGAGUGCAGAAGAGGAAAGUGGAAUUCCAUGUGUAGCGGUGAAAUGCGCAGAGAUAUGGAGGAACACCAGUGGCGAAGGCGACUUUCUGGUCUGUAACUGACGCUGAUGUGCGAAAGCGUGGGGAUCAAACAGGAUUAGAUACCCUGGUAGUCCACGCCGUAAACGAUGAGUGCUAAGUGUUAGGGGGUUUCCGCCCCUUAGUGCUGCAGCUAACGCAUUAAGCACUCCGCCUGGGGAGUACGACCGCAAGGUUGAAACUCAAAGGAAUUGACGGGGACCCGCACAAGCGGUGGAGCAUGUGGUUUAAUUCGAAGCAACGCGAAGAACCUUACCAAAUCUUGACAUCCUUUGACAACUCUAGAGAUAGAGCCUUCCCCUUCGGGGGACAAAGUGACAGGUGGUGCAUGAUUGUCGUCAGCUCGUGUCGUGAGAUGUUGGGUUAAGUCCCGCAACGAGCGCAACCCUUAAGCUUAGUUGCCAUCAUUAAGUUGGGCACUCUAAGUUGACUGCCGGUGACAAACCGGAGGAAGGUGGGGAUGACGUCAAAUCAUCAUGCCCCUUAUGAUUUGGGCUACACACGUGCUACAAUGGACAAUACAAAGGGCAGCGAAACCGCGAGGUCAAGCAAAUCCCAUAAAGUUGUUCUCAGUUCGGAUUGUAGUCUGCAACUCGACUACAUGAAGCUGGAAUCGCUAGUAAUCGUAGAUCAGCAUGCUACGGUGAAUACGUUCCCGGGUCU
rnacentral:rRNA from 1 species